GACGAACGCUGGCGGCGUGCUUAACACAUGCAAGUCGAACGGAAAGGCCCUGCUUUUGUGGGGUGCUCGAGUGGCGAACGGGUGAGUAACACGUGAGUAACCUGCCCUUGACUUUGGGAUAACUUCAGGAAACUGGGGCUAAUACCGGAUAGGAGCUCCUGCUGCAUGGUGGGGGUUGGAAAGUUUCGGCGGUUGGGGAUGGACUCGCGGCGUAUCAGCUUGUUGGUGGGGUAGUGGCUUACCAAGGCUUUGACGGGUAGCCGGCCUGAGAGGGUGACCGGGCACAUUGGGACUGAGAUACGGCCCAGACUCCUACGGGAGGCAGCAGUGGGGAAUAUUGCACAAUGGGCGGAAGCCUGAUGCAGCAACGCCGCGUGCGGGAUGACGGCCUUCGGGUUGUAAACCGCUUUCGCCUGUGACGAAGCGUGAGUGACGGUAAUGGGUAAAGAAGCACCGGCUAACUACGUG
rnacentral:rRNA from 1 species